rnacentral:rRNA from 1 species
GACGAACGCUGGCGGCGUGCUUAACACAUGCAAGUCGAACGGAAAGGCCCUGCUUUUGUGGGGUUCUCGAGUGGCGAACGGGUGAGUAACACGUGAGUAACCUGCCCUUGACUUUGGGAUAACUUCAGGAAACUGGGGCUAAUACCGGAUAGGAGCUCCUGCUGCAUGGUGGGGGUUGGAAAGUUUCGGCGGUUGGGGAUGGACUCGCGGCUUAUCAGCUUGUUGGUGGGGUAGUGGCUUACCAAGGCUUUGACGGGUAGCCGGCCUGAGAGGGUGACCGGCCACAUUGGGACUGAGAUACGGCCCAGACUCCUACGGGAGGCAGCAGGGGGGAAUAUUGCACAAUGGGCGGAAGCCUGAUGCAGAAACGCCGCGUGCGGGAUGACGGCCUUCGGGUUGUAAACCGCUUUCGCCUGUGACGAAGCGUGAGUGACGGUAAUGGGUAAAGAAGCACCGGCUAACUACGUG